UAAAGCGAUUCAGCGGGUUACGAUUGACGGAGCGAAGCGACGUCAAAGCGUAUACAAAGUCGAGUCGGUUUAAGGAUACGUUCGUUGGGUAGGGGAGCGUUCUGUAAGCCCGUGAAGGUGGCCUGUGAGGGUUGCUGGAGGUAUCAGAAGUGCGAAUGCUGACAUAAGUAACGAUAAAGCGGGUGAAAAGCCCGCUCGCCGGAAGACCAAGGGUUCCUGUCCAACGUUAAUCGGGGCAGGGUGAGUCGACCCCUAAGGCGAGGCCGAAAGGCGUAGUCGAUGGGAAACGGGUUAAUAUUCCCGUACUUGGUGUUACUGCGAAGGGGGGACGGAGAAGGCUAUGUUGGCCGGGCGACGGUUGUCCCGGUUUAAGCGUGUAGGUGUGUGUUCCAGGUAAAUCCGGUUCACUUUAACACUGAGGCGUGACGACGAGGCACUACGGUGCUGAAGCAACAAAUGCCCUGCUUCCAGGAAAAGCCUCUAAGCAUCAGGUAACACGAAAUCGUACCCCAAACCGACACAGGUGGUCAGGUAGAGAAUACCAAGGCGCUUGAGAGAACUCGGGUGAAGGAACUAGGCAAAAUGGUGCCGUAACUUCGGGAGAAGGCACGCUGACACGUAGGUGAAGUGAUUUACUCAUGGAGCUGAAGUCAGUCGAAGAUACCAGCUGGCUGCAACUGUUUAUUAAAAACACAGCACUGUGCAAACACGAAAGUGGACGUAUACGGUGUGACGCCUGCCCGGUGCCGGAAGGUUAAUUGAUGGGGUCAGCGUAAGCGAAGCUCCUGAUCGAAGCCCCGGUAAACGGCGGCCGUAACUAUAACGGUCCUAAGGUAGCGAAAUUCCUUGUCGGGUAAGUUCCGACCUGCACGAAUGGCGUAAUGAUGGCCAGGCUGUCUCCACCCGAGACUCAGUGAAAUUGAACUCGCUGUGAAGAUGCAGUGUACCCGCGGCAAGACGGAAAGACCCCGUGAACCUUUACUAUAGCUUGACACUGAACAUUGAGCCUUGAUGUGUAGGAUAGGUGGGAGGCUUUGAAGUGUGGACGCCAGUCUGCAUGGAGCCGACCUUGAAAUACCACCCUUUAAUGUUUGAUGUUCUAACGUGGACCCGUAAUCCGGGUUGCGGACAGUGUCUGGUGGGUAGUUUGACUGGGGCGGUCUCCUCCUAAAGAGUAACGGAGGAGCACGAAGGUUGGCUAAUCCUGGUCGGACAUCAGGAGGUUAGUGCAAUGGCAUAAGCCAGCUUGACUGCGAGCGUGACGGCGCGAGCAGGUGCGAAAGCAGGUCAUAGUGAUCCGGUGGUUCUGAAUGGAAGGGCCAUCGCUCAACGGAUAAAAGGUACUCCGGGGAUAACAGGCUGAUACCGCCCAAGAGUUCAUAUCGACGGCGGUGUUUGGCACCUCGAUGUCGGCUCAUCACAUCCUGGGGCUGAAGUAGGUCCCAAGGGUAUGGCUGUUCGCCAUUUAAAGUGGUACGCGAGCUGGGUUUAGAACGUCGUGAGACAGUUCGGUCCCUAUCUGCCGUGGGCGCUGGAGAACUGAGGGGGGCUGCUCCUAGUACGAGAGGACCGGAGUGGACGCAUCACUGGUGUUCGGGUUGUCAUGCCAAUGGCACUGCCCGGUAGCUAAAUGCGGAAGAGAUAAGUGCUGAAAGCAUCUAAGCACGAAACUUGCCCCGA
rnacentral:rRNA from 1 species